GAUAUUGAUAUUUAUGUUAUUUUUCGUUACAACACUCAAGUCAUAUUAGAAGAUAGGAUUCUCUUUUUCAAACAUAUCCAACUUUCCAACAAGAUUCUCCACCAAACAAAAAGACACCACAAAACGAUACCUCUUGCAUGCGCCCAACACCAAAAGUGUACGAAAUUAUGGUCUUUUCAAGACACAAAAGUGAAAAAGAGGUCCAAAACAACUAAGCACGACACCAAAAGAAACAAACUAGAAUAUGAAACAUCAUUGAUUGAACAACGACAACAAUUUUCAAAUUUCAUCCAAAUUGAAACCCCGGUGAAAAAGAAUCCAGUAAUGGCACAACAACAGAGAAAUCUUAAAAAGAUGAAACUAAAGACUAACAACAAUUCUAAAUUACAUUGA